AGGGUUUGAUCAUGGCUCAGAACGUACGCUGGCGGCACGCCUAACACAUGCAAGUCGAACGAAGUAGCAAUACUUAGUGGCAGACGGGUGAGUAACAUGUAGGUAUCUGCCCUUUGGCCUGGAAUAACACGAGGAAACUUGUGCUAAUACUGGAUAAGUCUUUACGGAGAAAGCUUUAUGCACCAUUGGAUGAGCCUGCACUUGAUUAGUUUGUUGGUGGGGUAAUGGCCUACCAAGACUUUGAUCAAUAGCUGAUUUGAGAGGAUGAUCAGCCACAUUGGGACUGAGACACGGCCCAAACUCCUACGGGAGGCAGCAGUGGGGAAUCUUGCACAAUGGAGGAAACUCUGAUGCAGCGAUGCCGCGUGAGUGAAGAAGGCCUUUGGGUUGUAAAGCUCUUUCGUCGGGGAAGAAAAUGACUGUACCCGAAUAAGAAGGUCCGGCUAACUUCGUGCCAGCAGCCGCGGUAAUACGAAGGGACCUAGCGUAGUUCGGAAUUACUGGGCUUAAAGAGUUCGUAGGUGGUUGAAAAAGUUGGUGGUGAAAUCCCAGAGCUUAACUCUGGAACUGCCAUCAAAACUUUUCAGCUAGAGUUUGAUAGAGGAAAGCAGAAUUUCUAGUGUAGAGGUGAAAUUCGUAGAUAUUAGAAAGAAUACCGAUUGCGAAGGCAGCUUUCUGGAUCAAUACUGACACUGAGGAACGAAAGCAUGGGUAGCGAAGAGGAUUAGAUACCCUCGUAGUCCAUGCCGUAAACGAUGUGUGUUAGACGUUGGAAAUUUAUUUUCAGUGUCGCAGCGAAAGCGAUAAACACACCGCCUGGGGAGUACGACCGCAAGGUUAAAACUCAAAUGAAUUGACGGGGACCCGCACAAGUAGUGGAGCAUGUGGUUUAAUUCGAAGAUACGCGCAGAACCUUACCAACACUUGACAUGUUCGUCGCGACUUUAAGAGAUUAAAGUUUUCGGUUCGGCCGGACGAAACACAGGUGCUGCAUGGCUGUCGUCAGCUCGUGUCGUGAGAUGUUGGGUUAAGUCCCGCAACGAGCGCAACCCUCACUUUUAGUUGCCAUCAUUAAGUUGGGCACUCUGAAAGAACUGCCAGUGAUAAGCUGGAGGAAGGUGGGGAUGACGUCAAGUCCUCAUGGCCCUUACGUGUUGGGCUACACACGUGCUACAAUGGUAUCUACAACAGGAAGCAAGACGGCGACGUUAAGCAAAUCCUUAAAAGAUACCUCAGUUCGGAUUGUACUCUGCAACUCGAGUACAUGAAGCUGGAAUUACUAGUAAUCGUGGAUCAGCGUGCCACGGUGAAUGCGUUCCCGGGUCUUGUACACACCGCCCGUCACACCAUGGGAGUUGGUUCUACCUUAAGGCAAGGUUUAAAACCCUUGACCACGGUAUAGUCAGCGACUGGGGUGAAGUCGUAACAAGGUAACCGUA
rnacentral:rRNA from 1 species